CUCCGGUGACAGACACUCCUGUGACGCAGUGCCCGUUCAUACAUCCGGAUUCCCCGCGUCACGGGAUCAAGAUAGCCCCUAUUCGCUCCCACGCGUUUUCCAGUCACAUCCGCCUUCACCUUCGUUCUCGGGGGACCCAGAGCUCACUGGAGAAGGCAGCCCGAGCCCCGACCAGCUGGGAAACCCAGAGAAGUACCUUGAUCCCCAGCCAGGGAGCAGUGCCACCACAGUGGACAGGUCUUCCCACUUCAGUCUAGUGAAGACACUCAGGCAUAUCCACAGGCCUCUCUCUCCCAGGAUUGCACAUGGGAUGAAAUGAAGGGCCU